rnacentral:pre_miRNA from 22 species
ACAGCAAGAAAAAUGAGGGACUUUCAGGGGCAGCUGUGUUUCCUGACUCAGUCAUAAUGCCCCUAAAAAUCCUUAUUGUUCUUGCAGUGUGC